GAUGAACGCUGGCGGCGUGCCUAAUACAUGCAAGUCGAGCGAACAGACGAGGAGCUUGCUCCUCUGACGUUAGCGGCGGACGUGUGAGUAACACGUGGAUAACCUACCUAUAAGACUGGGAUAACUUCGGGAAACCGGAGCUAAUACCGGAUAAUAUAUUGAACCGCAUGGUUCAAUAGUGAAAGACGGUUUUGCUGUCACUUAUAGAUGGAUCCGCGCCGCAUUAGCUAGUUGGUAAGGUAACGGCUUACCAAGGCAACGAUGCGUAGCCGACCUGAGAGGGUGAUCGGCCACACUGGAACUGAGCCACGGUCCAGACUCCUACGGGAGGCAGCAGUAGGGAAUCUUCCGCAAUGGGCGAAAGCCUGACGGAGCAACGCCGCGUGAGUGAUGAAGGUCUUCGGAUCGUAAAACUCUGUUAUUAGGGAAGAACAAAUGUGUAAGUAACUAUGCACGUCUUGACGGUACCUAAUCAGAAAGCCACGGCUAACUACGUG
rnacentral:rRNA from 1 species